rnacentral:rRNA from 1 species
CCUACGGGGGGCAGCAGUGAGGAAUAUUGGUCAAUGGCCGGAAGGCUGAACCAGCCAAGCCGCGUGAGGGAGGAAGGCGCAGAGCGUCGCAGACCUCUUUUGCCGGGGGACAAAAGGCCGGACUCGUCCGGUCCUGAGGGUACCCGGAGAAAAAGCAUCGGCUAACUCCGUGCCAGCAGCCGCGGUAAUACGGAGGAUGCGAGCGUUAUCCGGAUUCAUUGGGUUUAAAGGGUGCGCAGGCGGGCCUUUAAGCCGGCGGUGAAAUCGCGGGGCUCAACCCCCAAACUGCUUUUGGAACUGCGGGUCUUGAGUGAUGGAGAGGCAGGCGGAAUUCCCAGUGUAGCGGUGAAAUGCGUAGAUAUUGGGAGGAACACCAGUGGCGAAGGCGGCCUGCUGGACAUUAACUGACGCUGAGGCGCGAAAGCGUGGGGAGCAAACAGGAUUAGAUACCCUUGUAGUC